CGCUAACACUCCUACGGGAGGCAGCAGUGGGGAAUAUUGCACAAUGGGCGCAAGCCUGAUGCAGCCAUGCCGCGUGUAUGAAGAAGGCCUUCGGGUUGUAAAGUACUUUCAGCAGUGAGGAAGGCGGGUACGUUAAUAGCGUGCUUGUUUGACGUUAGCUGCAGAAGAAGCACCGGCUAACUCCGUGCCAGCAGCCGCGGUAAUACGGAGGGUGCGAGCGUUAAUCGGAAUUACUGGGCGUAAAAGCGCAUGCAGGCGGCCUGUUAAGUCAGAUGUGAAAGCCCGGGGCUUAACCUCGGAAUUGCAUUUGAAACUGGCAGGCUAGAGUCUUGUAGAGGGGGUAGAAUUUCAGGUGUAGCGGUGAAAAUGCGUAGAGAUCUGAAGGAAUACCAGUGGCGAAGGCGGCCCCCUGGACAAAGACUGACGCUCAGAUGCGAAAGCGUGGGGAGCAAACAGGAUUAGAUACCCUGGUAG
rnacentral:rRNA from 1 species